AUAUUCUGUUUAAACUACUUCUUG
rnacentral:tRNA from 1 species